rnacentral:rRNA from 1 species
AUUGAACGCUGGCGGCAGGCUUAACACAUGCAAGUCGAGCGAGCGGCGGACGGGUGCGUAAUGUCUGGGAAACUGCCUGAUGGCGGGGGAUAACUACUGGAAACGGUAGCUAAUACCGCAUACUAUCAGAUGUGCCCAGAUGGGAUUAGCUCGUAGGUGGGGUAAUGGCUCACCUAGGCGACGAUCCCUAGCUGGUCUGAGAGGAUGACCAUCGACGCGGGAACGUAGACGCGGUCCAGACUCCGACGGAAGGCAGCAGUGGGCAGUAUUGCACUAUGGGCGCAAGCCUGAUACAGCCAUGCCGCGUGUGUGAAGAAGGCCUUCGGGUUGUAAAGCACGUUCAGCGAGGAGGCGGUACUCGCAGAAGAAGCACCGGCUAACUCCGUGCCAGCAGCCGCGGUAAUUC